rnacentral:rRNA from 1 species
UAGGGAAUCUUCGGCAAUGGGGGGAACCCUGACCGAGCAACGCCGCGUGAGUGAAGAAGGUUUUCGGAUCGUAAAGCUCUGUUGUUAAGGAAGAACGAGUGUGAGAAUGGAAAGUUCAUGCUGUGACGGUACUUAACCAGAAAGGGACGGCUAACUACGUGCCAGCAGCCGCGGUAAUACGUAGGUCCCGAGCGUUGUCCGGAUUUAUUGGGCGUAAAGCGAGCGCAGGCGGUUAGAAAAGUCUGAAGUGAAAGGCAGUGGCUCAACCAUUGUAGGCUUUGGAAACUGUUUAACUUGAGUGCAGAAGGGGAGAGUGGAAUUCCAUGUGUAGCGGUGAAAUGCGUAGAUAUAUGGAGGAACACCGGUGGCGAAAGCGGCUCUCUGGCUUGUAACUGACGCUGAGGCUCGAAAGCGUGGGGAGCAAACAGGAUUAGAUACCCUGGUAGUCCACGCUGUAAACGAUGAGUGCUAGGUGUUAGACCCUUUCCGGGGUUUAGUGCCGUAGCUAACGCAUUAAGCACUCCGCCUGGGGAGUACGACCGCAAGGUUG